UUGGAACUGAGACACGGUCCAAACUCCUACGGGAGGCAGCAGUGAGGAAUAUUGGUCAAUGGACGAGAGUCUGAACCAGCCAAGUAGCGUGCAGGAUGACGGCCCUAUGGGUUGUAAACUGCUUUUAUAAGGGAAUAAAGUGAGUCUCGUGAGACUUUUUGCAUGUACCUUAUGAAUAAGGACCGGCUAAUUCCGUGCCAGCAGCCGCGGUAAUACGGAAGGUCCGGGCGUUAUCCGGAUUUAUUGGGUUUAAAGGGAGCGUAGGCCGGAGAUUAAGCGUGUUGUGAAAUGUAGAUGCUCAACAUCUGCACUGCAGCGCGAACUGGUUUCCUUGAGUAC
rnacentral:rRNA from 1 species